GAUGAACGCUGGCGGCGUGCCUAAUACAUGCAAGUCGAGCGAACGGACGAGAAGCUUGCUUCUCUGAUGUUAGCGGCGGACGGGUGAGUAACACGUGGAUAACCUACCUAUAAGACUGGGAUAACUUCGGGAAACCGGAGCUAAUACCGGAUGAUAUUUUGAACCGCAUGGUUCAAAAGUGAAAGACGGUCUUGCUGUCACUUAUAGAUGGAUCCGCGCUGCAUUAGCUAGUUGGUAAGGUAACGGCUUACCAAGGCAACGAUGCAUAGCCGACCUGAGAGGGUGAUCGGCCACACUGGAACUGAGACACGGUCCAGACUCCUACGGGAGGCAGCAGUAGGGAAUCUUCCGCAAUGGGCGAAAGCCUGACGGAGCAACGCCGCGGGAGUGAUGAAGGUCUUCGGAUCGUAAAACUCUGUUAUUAGGGAAGAACAUAUGUGUAAGUAACUGUGCACAUCUUGACGGUACCUAAUCAGAAAGCCACGGCUAACUACGUG
rnacentral:rRNA from 1 species